GGUUGCGAUCAUACCAGCACUAAUGCACCGGAUCCCAUCCGAACUCCGCAGUUAAGCGUGCUUGGGCGAGAGUAGUACUAUGAUGGGUGACCCCCUGGGAAGUCCUCGUGUUGCAACCCUC
rnacentral:rRNA from 1 species